GUGGAAUUUAUUCAUGUAGCUGCUGCCUUUGCUGUGGAUUGUGCUUUCCGUAUUUCAGUAUAUAUUUCUGUUUUUAAAAUAUAUAUUUUUAAUGAUGUUUCUAGUUCUCUGUGUUGCUAACAAUCAUAGAGAUGUGUAACUUGUAGAAGAGCUUGGAGGCCUAAGUGACUAGAACAUUCUUGAGUUUCUUCAGGAAUCAGGAUAACACAUUCUUGGCUUGUCUUGAAGUCAUUUUCCUCCCCUUCUAUAAAAAAAAGGUGCACUGGAUGUGUGCUUAGCCAGCAAACAAUAAACAUAUCUACUCCAUCAGAUCAGCCACCCACCCACGAGGGAGGAGUAAUAUCCAAAUGCUUUCAGGAAUUUCUUGAUUACUCUUCCUCCUUCCUGAGCAUCCGGAUGGUGUUUAUUUACCAAGAGUAGCAAGAGAUACUGGAAAAGGCUUAAAUGCUCUUCCAAUUGGCGAAUACUUUGAGGCUAACUCUUCUCCUUUAAGGAGGUGUCUGGUUACCUCAGUAUCUCUGUACAGUGACUGAAAGAUCCAGACCCAAGGAUUUGACCUUCUGAGCAGACCUGGAUGACAUCCAUGUAAUUGUACCAAAUGCCAUCUGCCCUGUUUGUUCUUGUCCCAGACUCCCAAAGUCCUUGGCUCUUGGUACAUAUCCAGCCCACACCACUGUUAUUAGGGAAUGAAAAUCAUCAUCAUGGAUGUUGCACUAUGGAUGAGGUGUUGGAAGCGAGACCUUUUUUGAUUCACCUUAAAAUGACACGACUUUCUAUACAACUUUUUUUACUCUAACUGGAACAUAAUCAGAACAUAACCAGAACCAGUGCAGAUCAGAUGUGGAGUCAACGGCUGAGACUUGCACAUAGGCUGAUAUAUCUCUCUUCUGAGAGGGAAAUUUUACUGUCAUGUCAUAUUUUGUGAUUCUGCUGUUGUGUCUAUAUGCCAGACUUCCAUUACUUUCUCACAUUACGUGGUGAUUUAAACAGAAAUCGGCUGGUAAUAUGAACUGUCAUUGGUAUUUUACUUCCUUUUAUAAUUCUGAAAAGUC